rnacentral:rRNA from 1 species
ACGGGUGAGUAAUGCCUAGGAAAUUGCCCUGAUGUGGGGGAUAACCAUUGGAAACGAUGGCUAAUACCGCAUAAUAGCUUCGGCUCAAAGAGGGGGACCUUCGGGCCUCUCGCGUCAGGAUAUGCCUAGGUGGGAUUAGCUAGUUGGUGAGGUAAAGGCUCACCAAGGCGACGAUCCCUAGCUGGUCUGAGAGGAUGAUCAGCCACACUGGAACUGAGACACGGUCCAGACUCCUACGGGAGGCAGCAGUGGGGAAUAUUGCACAAUGGGCGCAAGCCUGAUGCAGCCAUGCCGCGUGUGUGAAGAAGGCCUUCGGGUUGUAAAGCACUUUCAGUCGUGAGGAAGGUAGUGUAGUUAAUAGCUGCAUUAUUUGACGUUAGCGACAGAAGAAGCACCGGCUAACUCCGUGCCAGCAGCCGCGGUAAUACGGAGGGUGCGAGCGUUAAUCGGAAUUACUGGGCGUAAAGCGCAUGCAGGUGGUUUGUUAAGUCAGAUGUGAAAGCCCGGGGCUCAACCUCGGAAUUGCAUUUGAAACUGGCAGACUAGAGUACUGUAGAGGG